AGAGAACGCAGUGCCCAGGCUCAGCUCAGCUCCUCCUUUUUAACUUAGUCCAGGACUCCACCCAAUGGAAGAAUGCCACCUCUUCAGUUAGACCUCUCUGGAAACACUCUCUCAGACAUGCUAAAGGCAUGUUUCAUAGGUGAUUCUAAAUGCAAUCAAGUUGACAAGGAAGAUUGGCCUUCACACAAUGCUUGUAUAUGUCUGGCACGUCAUGUAUCUGUGUCAGACACAUCAUAUAUAGAUUUCCUUAGUAGAAAGAGCUGGCAAGAGAUCAAGUUGUACUCUGUGAGGAAGACCUACCUGACAUCUGACUCCUGAGGACUGAAGUUGGAAGUCACAAGUGGCUGAGAAACAUGAAGAUAAGUCUGACGAGCAUCAGAAAGAAGGCCAGAAGCUUGGAUGAGAAAAUUAGUGUUUGGGGAGAACACAGCAGUGAAGGUGGAAGGCAACUAUGACCAUCGCCCAUGGCUGCCAGCUUCAAAGAGACCAGUACUGAGAACAGGGAUGCAUCUAGCACUGACCCAAGCUCGGCGGGGAUGAACAUAUUGUACUUGGCAGUGUUGCUCUAUUCUCUGGAACCCAGCUUAUUUCUUGAAAGACAAGAUACUCUAGGAAAAGGGCCUGGAAGAAACAAGUCAUCCUAUGUCUUCAUCCUUGAAAAUCCCUCUACAUCCAAGGAAGCUACAAACAGGCUCACUCCUCACAGCAUUAGAUUGGUCAAGGUCCAGCAAUCAAAUGCAGUAGUGUCACGUGUUUGGUUACCUCUGCCACGGCUGACAUCAGAUGUGCCCCUGAAAAAAUCUGCAUUUCUUUUAUUUUUUGUGAUCUUCAGUGUCUGUUCCUAACUUGAGCUGUGUCUGGAAAUAAAAGUAGGUUCCAGAAGAAAAGGGUCGAGGGGGAACAAAAGAAGCCAUGGCAGCAGAAGAAUGGGAGCCACAUGACUGGAGACAUUUUCUUCCAUGGAAUGCUUUGGAAGAGCAGAAAUGCUUGGCCAUUGGUCUGCUGUCUCAAGAGGAAUAUUUUAGUACUGGGGGUUUCUCUGAAAAGUCACAACAGCUGCUGCCUUAGUUUACCACAUGGAGUCAUGCAGAUUGUACAGACCUGCUUCAGGAAUCAUCCCAAAGGCAAAGACUCUACGCGAGUGCGCAUCUCCUGAAAGAGCCUAAGUGAAAUUAGAAGCCACUCUCUUGGAACUGAUCCUGGUGAACAUGAUUCGGAUGAACUGAUUCUCAAAGGCCAUCAGAAGGAAGAGGAAAGGAAAGACCAUUCUGAGCAGAGGAAAGCAAAGAUCAAAGCUAGCCACAGAGCACAGUUCACAGAAACAGCAACAGGCCAGAGGUCAAUGGCUCCAAAACUAACUUCAAAACAGGAAAGGAGAGCUGACCAAUACCCUUGACCUUUGGAGGAUGUCAGUGUGAGUCAACAGGUUACUCUGAACUCGUCAGUCAGAGCACCGCAACAGGCUUCUGAGUUCUGUCAGUACGGGCUCUCCAGGGCUAUCUCAGUGACUUGGGAUCAAGCCAAAUCUCAAAUAGUAUUCCAGUGGACAGAGACGGGGGACAAAGCAACCAAUUAAAGGCAUCUUUCCUUGGAUUUGACUUACUAAAUAACAUCACUUCGAUACUUGGCUUGGGAGUACAUUCAGAGAUCAAAGUGUACCGUUUUACUAGCAAAACUCCACCCAUGGUCCUAUCUGUGCAGUUGUGUGAGCACACUACUCACACCACUAUACUCCUUCCUGUGGAGAGUGAGCAAGAUGGCUCUAUGGAUAAAGGAGCUUGCUGCCUAGCCCAAAGAUCUGAGUUUGAUCCCUGGGGCGCAGGAGGUAGAAGAAAUAACUCCCACAAUGACUUUACACACAAACUGUAUUAUAUGUGCCCAAGCACGUGCAUGCACACAAACUCACACAAAGAAAUCAAUGAAAGCAUAACAAAUUCACACAAAAAAAUCAAUAAAAGCAUAAUAAAAUUU
ensembl:lincRNA 1700061I17Rik RIKEN cDNA 1700061I17 gene